rnacentral:lncRNA from 1 species
UGUUUCAUACCUAUUCUGUGUAAGUUGAUCUGUGGUUUCCAGCUGAUCUCCAGCAGUCUGCGCUGACGAUCGAUCUCUUCCUCGUAGCGGACGAUGGUUUGUUCAAACUCGGAGAAUAUUUCUGCAGCAGCAGCAGUUAGCCGCUCUCUUAUAAACUCUCUCAGAGACUGAGCUGAAGACAUUGUUGCUGCAGAGCCUCAGAGGUUCAAACAACAAGCUAACGCUGAUAACGAGCAACAAGCUAACGUUGAUAAUAAACAAUAAGCUAAUGCUGCUAAUAGCUUCCGGUUGGCGGUCUACAGUCUCUGUUGGUGAGCAGCGUAAAGGUGCUCUACCGCCACCUGCUGGACCAGAGUAGGAAAAGCAUCAAUAAGGAAGAGAUAUCAGCACCUUCCCAACACUUUAUUUGCUUCUCAGAGCUGCUAAAAAUAAAAGUAACAACAUAAAAAGUUUCUAUCACAUUCUUUAUAGAAAGUAGCAUUUUUUAGUUUGUUUGAAGUUCAUACAAAUAAAACUGGUCCGAUUUAGAUUAAAAAACAGAAAGAAAAAAGUAUUUUACUGGUUUUUCGUGGCUUUUGAAGAGACCGCCUAAAAUAAUGAAAAUUUAACAGAUGUGUGUUUUCAGUCCCAUUCUGAUCACACAGGUGCGUUUUAAUCUGCUCCAGCAGGUAACGCUAGUGCACCUUUACGCUAGUCACCGACCACCAGAAGAAGCAGAAACCGAAAGCUGUUAGCAGAGCUAGCUUAUUGUUGUUCUGCUGUGUGAGGGGAAUAUUUGAGGCUCUGCAGUAGAAAUGUAUUCACUUCAGUAUCUGGGACAGUUGAUCAGCUAAAGCGACUAUUUGCUGCUGCAGAAAUCUUCUCACCAGGCUGUGGAAACUUUCUUCUCCUCAAACACUUGGUGGAGUUCUUUCCAGAACCAGAGAAGUAUUCUGCGGUCUUCGUGACAAUCGGAGCUCCAGAAUCAGGUUGUAGAUUGAAGAGGUUCCCUCUAUCAGACUCGCUCAUCUGAGUUGGUCAUGAUGCAGGAUCGCUGCUCGCUCUCUUAUCCA